AGGCAGAUGAUGAAUUAUUAUUAUUUGGACUGAUCAAACUCUUGAUGAUCCAAAAUUCGAGCUUUUUAAAACUGAUGCCUC
rnacentral:snoRNA from 1 species